rnacentral:rRNA from 1 species
AUUGAACGCUGGCGGCAGGCCUACCACAUGCAAGUCGAACGAGUGGCGGACGGGUGCGUCAUGUCUGGGAACCUGCCUGAAGGAGGGGGAUAACUACUGGAACCGGUAGCUAAUACCGCAUACACUCCGAUGUGCUCAGAUGGGAUUAGCUAGUUGGUGGGGUAACGGAUCACCUAGGCGACGUUCCCUAGCUGGUCUGAGAGUAUGACCAGCCACACGGGAAAUGAUACACGGUCCAGACUCCUACGGUAGGCAGCAGUGGGGAAUAGUGCACAAUGGGCGAAAGCCGGAUGCAGCCAUGCCGCGUGUAUGAAGAAGGCCUUCGGGUUGUAAAGUACUUUCAGCGAGGAGGCGUUACUCGCAGAAGAAGCACCGGCUAACUCCGUGCCAGCAGCCGAGGUAAUAC